UCACCCUGUAUAGUACGGCAAUGUAAACUGCUGGCCGUUAUGCAUGUAGCAAUCAGAUUUCCGAAUUUUAGAAACAUGUUCUUUACUUACUUUAUUAUUUUAACUCAUUUUGUUAAAGAUCUGACACGUUACAAGCAGAAAACAAAAUGGAAUUUACAUAAACAAUAUUUAUUUAAACUUACAUAUAUAUUUAGCCUAUUCCUUAUUUAAAAUGAUUUUGUAUUUUUCUAAUUGCAUUUCAUUGUGCGCACUCUGACACGUGUAUGUGUGCCUAAACUGAUGACUCGGUUUGAAACUUUACGCAACGAAUACAUUCGGGUAACCUUUAGAAAUUUUUCUUUCUUUUGUAUUGAAGCAUCUCGCUGCUUGUUAUGCGUCAGCGUUUUUCCAACGGUAUUCAACGAACGAAUGAAAAAUACGGAUUCGCGCUGUGCGCUCGCAGUUAUGCGUCAUCUGUAACAACCAGAUCGCGUACUCAUACUCGCUUUUCCACGCAUUCUCGUUGAUGUCUGCGGGAAUCUUUGAUCCCGCUGUUGCAUCGGAAAUUUUUCAUAUAUCCGAAUUGCAGCAUUCGCAUUCCGUUUUACGCGUUCGUGCCCUGCGCGACUAAUGCACAAUACAUUCUCCGAAGGGAAGCAAAGCAAAAGCGUUUCUAUGUAAAGCGGUCGACAAGUCAAAAGUGCUAUUCGAGAAUGAACGGCACAUGCAUCAGCACUGAUAAGAUGAUAAAAGACUGCGGAUUUUACGGGAAUUUAUGCGCAGCUGAAAAAAUUCAUCGUGCAGUAAUGCGCUUGCAGCGAAUAUCGAAACGAUGAAGCAAACCGUUGGCAAAAAUAAACACAAAUAAUAACGAUAACAAUAAUAUUUAAUAAAAAAGAGAACAAUAUAAAAUAUACCGCGACGAAAAGAUCUUUCUAAAAAUACGUUUCUGUAUUUAUUUUCUAAACAAAAUAAAUGUUUCGGAUAUAAAUUUGCAAUUUCAAGAAUUUAUAAAUCUGAUAUUCUUACGAUUGAAUUCUUUGAAAGAUCGCGAGUUUUCUGUCGUCGUCUUGACAUCGCGUAAAGAUCGUUUAUCCAACCGCGGUCGCAAAAAAACUAGGGGCGGAAACGGAGUGACCGUAGCUGCUCGUAAGAGGGGUAGAUAAAACGCUUCACGCACUACAUCACGCCUAAUGGAAACAAGAGGGUAACGAAGAAUGCGCUUGGGCGCGAGACGGGUUGAAAGUUGGGGCGGGGUGAAGCCGGAGUGUUUGAUGGCGUGCAACGUAAGUCACUGUACUUAGGUACAUGCGGGGCGCAAAGGUCUGAGUAGCAGACAUCGCCGUCCGCCCCCGCGGCGACCACCCUUCGCCCGCUUUCAACCCCCAUCAUCGCCCCUGCGUUGGCGCGUUACUCUUUUACUCUCGACGCCGUAUAAAUUACAGGGCGCAUCAUGAAUUACAUCUCGUUGCUGAGAUUCCUCUUUACGACUCUCGUCCCCGCUUCCGUCCGCCGCAGGAUAUUAAAUGGGCGCCACGGCAUAAAGAGAUUAUUCCCGGUGUUUCUCAGUUUGCGAGGUCGCGCCGAAGAUGCUGCCGACGCAAUAACGUUAUUGGUAGUUUCCUCCGACGUUGUCGUUUUCCUGGAUACGCGCGUCAGCGUGGAUGGAUAUUACACAUAUAUCGCUCGCGAAUGAUUUAAAGUUUCUCUCUCCGCACUUUUCUAAUUUACGCUUUGUCUCUGUGUGUCUUCUCGAACGUUAACCCGUGCCAGAUCCUGCGUCGUGUUUCUUUGCGUGCGAAAGCGCGGGCUCGCUUGUGCAAAGGGUGAGGAAAUCACAUGUCGAAACAACUUUCCGACGUGUACUUCACGCAGCAAGAGAAAGGAAAUAUAAUACCCUUCACUUUGCUCGCCGGCGUGUAAAAAAAUGGCCUGCUGCGGACGUAAAAAGAAGCGCUGGAAGAAGGGUCGUCCUUCGACGACGUGGAAAUUCCGCUUAAAGUGCAGUGCUAUCCGAGUACCUGUCAUCGCACGCGUUCUUCCCGACAAAGCUGGGUUCUGCCUGUAACGUGGCACUUUGCGCUGAAAAUGGUCUUUCCCUAUGAAUCGCCAGCUCUAUUCUUGUUACUUUCUUUAAAAUAGUUUUUAUUUUUAUUCGUGUAGGAGUUUGCGGUGCGAGGCCAAGGACGCCUCGAGUCACGUUUAUAUCUCCACUGAUAUAUUUAAACUUUUAUCUUGCAAUUUCAAACAUUUAUUACAGUUCGUUAUUUUUCUAUUACAAUAUCAAGUGAAGAAUAGUAUAGUCUAAUAAUAAAUAAUAAGACUUGAAACGCUCCACUACCAACUUUUUUUAACUUUGAAUAAAAGAAAUAGCAGAAGAGUAUUAAGAUAAGAUGUAGCAAAAUCUUAACACAGUUCGUUAUUUUUCUAUUAUUUUUAUUUCCAUAAUGAGAAACACAUCCUUACAAAAAUUCGCUCGCAAGAUGAUUAUUACAAAGACUCGGAUUUACGGGCCGAUUUAAAGAAUCCAUCGUCCCGUCACGCGCCGUCAAACGUGCAGUUCUCGACGAGCGAAAAUGCGGGCGCAAAUAUUUGAACGUCCAGCGAGUCGGCCGGCGUAAUAUCCGCCGCGCUUCACCAUUUUACCGCGAUGACUACGCUUCCCGUCGCUCACGCCUCGACGAGCAAAGCUGCGGGGGAUGAUUUUUCCGUUUUCUUGUUGCGCGCCACGCGCGGCGAGGACGACGGCGCGGCAGAUGAGUCCGCCGCGGAGUUGUUUGAAGCUUGCGGCGGCAGCGUUGGCAAGAGAGCUGCGCGCGCGUGGGGGUAGAUCUUGCGCCGUCCACUCCAGCUGGCAGCAUCCCUCUCGGCACCCUCCCACCUCCCUCCCUCCCAUGCCGGUGGCAGCUGGCAACCCUCGCCAGCACUCGGCAGUCAUUCGCGCGGUUCGCAACCCGCGGGGUCCGCUCCCUUUUCCGGGACUGCCAGUACAUCCCUCGGUACCCGGCGCGAACGGUCGCGUUAUUAUCCUCUGGCCGACAGCUCACCACCGAAUCCCGUCCACCCCUGUCAGAUCACUUCGGGGAUGUCAAACGAAGCAUCCGGCAUCGUGGUGUUUGAAUUUUAACACUUUUUUACCGUCACCAGUGCUUUUGUCUCGACUUGUCUCGUAGGCUCCCGACACAGGAUUCUGAUCAACGAGCGCUGCAACGUGGCGCGCUUAUGUAGUUACGCGAUUACUAAACGCGGUGAUCCGCAGAUCCGCAGCGCGCGUAUGUAGGAAUAAUAAUUGCCUAGUCUCUCUCUAUUAUUAGAGAGCGAUGACGUAAAAGCAACGGGAUAUUACAAAUACCGCGCGUACCAAUCCCGACCAUCGCGAGCUGGUACCAGCCGACCUGUACCUAUAUGUACACCAGUAAUCGCGCACGAGGAAACUUCGUUCGAUAAAGGCACACAAAUGCUCGUUCUCUCGCAUAUUGCGGACUCGCGUUGCAGUCACGAGAUGUCAGCCGCUCGAAAUGUAAAGCAGUCCAUCGAGAUUUCAUCGCAAACUACCGCUAAUUCCACGGUUGCAGUGGCACGCGAAAAAUUUGUUCACGACCCGUUUUUCCAGUCACGCUCAAUCGCGCAGCUCAGAUUCGGGCCGAGUAAAUCGCUUCGAGGAUUAAAAUAAUCGAGAUCGUCGCGAGCUUGCUCAGGCUAAUUCGUGACGAAGUCAGGGGUGAAUUAUGCGGACGUGGCCGGUGCAGUCGCAUGUGAGCAGCGUCGAAAGUCGAGUCGCUCGUUCAAGGCCGCGCCAGAUCUAUCCGGAAGUCACGUGGCGGCGUUCUCCGUUGGUUUCCCUCUUGAUUCGAGAAGCUCGGGGGAAACUCCAUUUUUCGCCGAGAGAUUUCAUCGCCAAUAAACGGACUCGAUUGACCAUUUAAUUUAUUUGCCCGCUCGUUCAUCGUUACGCUACCAGCUAGUGCUGGCUUAAUCAAGCAGGACGAAGAGCAAAUUUAUCGAGAUCAAACAACUUUUCUUAUGUCGAGAUCCUAUUAAAGUACUGUAAAAGUCAAAGAACGCAA